rnacentral:lncRNA from 1 species
CUCCAGGCAUGUUUAACAUUCACUUGAUACAAUUCCGUUAAAAGAAAAAAGUUAAAGUACUCAAAAAAAAAAAGGAACAGAAAAUUUUCCAAUCAAUUAUGAAAUUAGAAAUAUUUUCUCGUAGUAAAAACAUCACUUACAUCACCAAACAACAAAAAUUAUUGUCAAGAUUUGUGGUUGGAGGGAUACAGAUCAUCAUUACGAGCUUCUCCUUGUGUGACUCCUACUGGUUUUUUGUUGUUCCAUUUCUCAAUCUCCUUCACCAAUAGCCCUAUUUCUUCAC